rnacentral:rRNA from 1 species
AUUGAACGCUGGCGGCAGGCUUAACACAUGCAAGUCGAGCGGAGAUGAGGUGCUUGCACCUUAUCUUAGCGGCGGACGGGUGAGUAAUGCUUAGGAAUCUGCCUAUUAGUGGGGGACAACAUUCCGAAAGGAAUGCUAAUACCGCAUACGUCCUACGGGAGAAAGCAGGGGAUCUUCGGACCUUGCGCUAAUAGAUGAGCCUAGGUCGGAGUAGCUAGUUGGUGGGGUAAAGGCCUACCAAGGCGACGAUCUGUAGCGGGUCUGAGAGGAUGAUCCGCCACACUGGGACUGAGACACGGCCCAGACUCCUACGGGAGGCAGCAGUGGGGAAUAUUGGACAAUGGGGGAAACCCUGAUCCAGCCAUGCCGCGUGUGAGAAGAAGGCCUUAUGGUUGUAGAGCACUUUAAGCGAGGAGGAGGCUACUGAGACUAAUACUCUUGGAUAGUGGACGUUACUCGCAGAAUAAGCACCGGCUAACUCUGUGCCAGCCGCCGCCGUAA